AGAAUUUUUUUUGUUUUGUUUUCCCUCCUCUUCUUUCUUCCUUCCUUUUCCCUCCCCAACCCCGACGGUUUCUUCCCGCCCGAAUCUUCCUCCUCCCCGUCUCUCCCUUCUCCCUAUUUCACUCCCCAUUUACGCCACUCCCCCAAGGUUUCUCUCUACCUCUCUGCCCAACGGCCCUCUCAAAAUUUUUUCUCCCAGCCCAACUCCCUCUUUCUUUUCUUCUCUGUGAAUCUCGCCGCCCAAGCUCCACCUCAGCGGUUCCUCUGUACCACUCGCCGCCGUCACUGAUUUCUAGGACUUCGAUUGACGACGAUCCUUCCUCACCACUCGCCGUCUCUAUUCGAAGGUUCCGUUACCGAUGCCUCCGCCCCUGUUCCACACCAACGACGCCUUCGCAUUCCUCUUCUCUAGGAUUUAGGCUGUGACAUAUUGAAGCCACCGGAGACAACCUCUCCAAGGGCACCUUCAACAUCCCUAGACAACGUCAAUUUCACUCUCUAAAUCUGACGGGCCAUCGCACGAAAUUAGAUAUUUUGGAUGUUUCAGCUAAUGAUCAAGAAUAGAGAAUAUGUGCAAGACUAUAUGAGCAUAGUGGAUUAAGUACACAAAGAGGGUAAUUUGAUUAUUUGAGAAUUUUAUUCAGUAGAUUGGAUUUUAUUAAGUUGAUUUUGUUUAUUGGGAUGUUGAUAAUUUAUCGACACUUGUGGAAUUGUUGAUUAAUUAUGUUAAGGUCCUUGUAGAGGAACAUUGAUAUUUAGUGUGAACAAAUGAGUUUAUGUUUAGAAAGCCUUUUGGAGUAUAUAUUAUAUUGUACUGUUGGGAGAUAAUUUUAGGUAACAGGAAGUAACUCCCUAACCCUCCAGGUACCGGGUGUUACAUGUGUUCUAACC